UACCUCUAACUCUAGUAUUUUUUCUUUGGAUAACAGAAGCAGACUAGUCCACUUUACACGUCGCUACUCAGGCCAAAUAAAGAUAGAUAAUACAGUGGCAAAAGGCUGGUUUUAUUCUCCGUUGCACAGCUUGAAUUCUUCCUUGUUCAAUGUGCGACAAAAGAAAUCCCAUUUUGUGGUUCCUAAGUCUAAGCAGCACAAAUUCUAUUUUCACUUAGUCUAUUAAGUGAGUCUAGUCUCACAGUGUAAGACAGCAAUACUCACGACUGUGCUAAUACAUCUAACUUUGUUGCUACACUAUACAAAGUAAUAUUUUUUAUCCUGUCAUCUUUAGAAAAGUGUAAGAAAUGAUUUGAGAUCCUGAGCUGUGGAGAGCCUGCUUUCAGAACCUGCUGACUGGUGCUUCUCUGACAUCAACUGUAGCUUUGCUAAGAUGUUAACCCAACUUUCAGAAGAGAAGGGUUCAAUAUCCUGCCAUGGUACAGACACAUGGGCAAUCAAUCUGGUGUUUCAUUUCUACAUCUCUGAAAAAAAGACAUCUAUUCACCUAUACUCCAGAGAUCUUAUUCAGUGUCUUCUCAGCAAAACUACAGUCCUCCAGAGUCAAUUUUCCUAAUAGAGUCCUCCCUGACUAGGUUGGACAAAUGUCAUGUCCCCUGGCUCUAUCCAUCUUGUAAUGAAAAUUAGACCUAUUGCCAGCUACACCUUGCUGAUUGCUUCCUACCUGCUGCUAAGGAUAAUUUGUGCAGUGUAAAUGAAGACUUCAGCAGUUGGUGAAAGGAAAAAAGGUACAAGAAAGGGCUGAUGUUCAACAUUUACAAAAGACAGCCAAUAAAGACACAGUUCUGCUUAGCUGAAAAUGUGUA
rnacentral:lncRNA from 1 species